rnacentral:rRNA from 1 species
AUUGAACGCUGGCGGCAUGCCUUACACAUGCAAGUCGAACGGCAGCACGGGAGCAAUCCUGGUGGCGAGUGGCGAACGGGUGUGUAAAGUAUCGGAACGUGCCCAGUCGUGGGGGAUAACGUAGCGAAAGUUACGCUAAUACCGCAUACGAUCUAUGGAUGAAAGCGGGGGAUCGCAAGACCUCGCGCGAUUGGAGCGGCCGAUAUCAGAUUAGGUAGUUGGUGGGGUAAAGGCUCACCAAGCCGACGAUCUGUAGCUGGUCUGAGAGGACGACCAGCCACACUGGGACUGAGACACGGCCCAGAUUCCUACGGAAGGCAGCAGUGGGGAAUUUUGGACAAUGGGCGAAAGCCUGAUCCAGCCAUGCCGCGUGCAGGAUUAAGGCCUUCGGGUUGUAAACUGCUUUUGUACGGAACGAAAAGGUUUGGGCUAAUAAGCUGAGCUCAUGACGGUACCGUAAGAAUAAGCACCGGCUAACUACGUGCCAGCAGCCGCCGUAA